rnacentral:rRNA from 1 species
CGCUAUCACUCCUACGGGAGGCAGCAGGUGGGGAAUAUUGGACAAUGGGCGAAAGCCCUGAUCCAGCCAUUGCCGCGUGUGUGAAGAAGGUCUUCGGAUUGUAAAGCACUUUAAGUUCGGGAGGAAGGGCAGUAAGUUAAUACCUUGCUGUUUUGACGUUACCAACAGAAUAAGCACCGGCUAACUUCGUGCCAGCAGCCGCGGUAAUACGAAGGGUGCAAGCGUUAAUCGGAAUUACUGGGCGUAAAGCGCGCGUAGGUGGUUCAGCAAGUUGGAUGUGAAAUCCCCGGGCUCAACCUGGGAACUGCAUCCAAAACUACUGAGCUAGAGUACGGUAGAGGGUGGUGGAAUUUCCUGUGUAGCGGUGAAAUGCGUAGAUAUAGGAAGGAACACCAGUGGCGAAGGCGACCACCUGGACUGAUACUGACACUGAGGUGCGAAAGCGUGGGGACGCAAACAGGAUUAGACUACCCUGGUAG